UAAGACCUGCGCUUUUGGAGCGGCCGAUGUCUGAUUAGCUUGUUGGUGAGGUAAAGGCUUACCAAGGCUUCGAUCAGUAGCUGGUCUGAGAGGACGGCCAGCCACACUGGGACUGAGACACGGCCCAGACUCCUACGGGAGGCAGCAGUGGGGAAUUUUGGACGAUGGGGGCAACCCUGAUCCAGCCAUGCCGCGUGAGUGAAGAAGGCCUUCGGGUUGUAAAGCUCUUUCAGCCGGAACGAAACGGUUACGGUUAAUACCCGUGAUUACUGACGGUACCGGAAGAAGAAGCACCGGCUAACUACGUGCCAGCAGCCGCGGUAAUACGUAGGGUGCGAGCGUUAAUCGGAAUUACUGGGCGUAAAGCGUGCGCAGGUGGUUUUGUAAGUCAGAUGUGAAAGCCCCGGGCUCAACCUGGGAACU
rnacentral:rRNA from 1 species